rnacentral:lncRNA from 1 species
GUUAAUUAAACAAGAGAAGAUGAGGACAGGUCACAUUUGACUAGAAGCUACAGUCAGUGGGACAUAUACCUAAGUGCUGGGGGUCUAAUUCACUUCAGUGUCCUAGAGAAGUAUCCCACCACUGAGCUACAUUCUGACCUCUAAGGUGAAAUUCAACACAUACAACAUUUGGCGUCUGGACACCUCGAGCACAGCUCCUGGUCUGUGGAAUGCCAUUUACUGCUUACUCUCACUUCCCACUCCCCAGGCCCUAUCCCUGGUUCCUCCAUUUUCAUCUGCCCUUGAGCAGUGCUCGGCCAGAACAGGUUUUUAUCACCAGAGCCCUCAGCUCUACAACCGUAGUGACCUGACAGAUGAGAACUGUUCAGACCUUCCAUUACAGGGUCUCCCGCCCCUUCAACUACUUGUCACCCUUAUUCUGAAAGAAAAAUCGAAUCGAAUCGUGCUAAGCUGGGAUCCUUCUGCUUUAAAAUGCCAAUAGGAGGUGAACACACUAGGCACUCCUGGCUAACUCCAACUUCUUCUUCCUGCUCUGCUGUUUGUGAUGGGAACUUGAAAACAAUUUAUCACAGUAAUGAUUGCUGAUGCCAACACUCCGGUGACUGAUGGCCACGUUACCUGGAGCAUGUCUUCCUGGCUCUCUCUCCACUAAAGAGUAAUUGUGGAGGGUUGGUGGAGAUGGGGGUGGCUAAAGGCUGAGGCAGGGAGAAUCUCAGCUCAGCUUCUCACCAGCCCCGAGUCAGGAGAGGCGGGAGG